AACGCACGAGACCUGCGGACCUGCGGAAGGAUCAUUAAUGAGAAGCUGCCCCUCGUGGGUAGACCUCCCACCCUCUGUGAACUUACCUUUGUUGCUUUGGCAGGCCCGCCCUCUGGACCGCCGGCUUCGGCUGGCCCGUGCCUGCCAGAGGAUUCCAAACCCUGUCUGUCAGUGUUGUCUGAGUCUAUAUGAAAUCGUUAAAACUUUCAACAAUGGAUCUCUAGAUCGGAAGAGCACACG
rnacentral:misc_RNA from 1 species